rnacentral:misc_RNA from 1 species
GUUAAAAGAAGAUUUUGUGACCGUUAAUUGUGAUUAUCAGUUUCCUUUUCUUCGCUUAUAAAUAAAUAAUUACUCUCUCACUGAGAGUCUCAACGCUUCUUCUAAAGAAUUCGACAAAUCAAAACUCUCUAUUUCUCGCUUCUUCUUAUUCUAAAACCCUAAUUCUCUUCUCAAGACAAUUUUGUCUUUAUCUCUCUGUGAAUUCCGAUGAUGAUCCAAGUAGAGAUAUUCAAGUAAAAGCCGAUGGUGAUGAUCUCUGAAACGUCCGUAAUUGAUCGGAGCGAUAUCAUAUCAUCAUCGUUUCGUGAUUGAACCAUCAAAUCUAUGUCAUCAAGAUCGAUGUCGCCAGAUAAUGAUCUGACCAACGAGAGACGCUUUCACCGGAGACUACAAAGAGGAGGAUAUAGCCAAGAGAGCGGAGAGCUUUAUGGUGGUGGAUGAUGUCACGAGAGGGCUCCCAAAGACCGACGGGCUCAAAUCUGACUUUGGAAUGGGCUUUGCUCUAUGGGCCCUUUUUGCUACUAAAUCCAACAAGGGAGAUGAGAGAUUCAAUUCAAUGCAAGUUGUGUCUAUGUGACUCCAUCAAUACACUUGACUAAUCAGAAUCAAUGCUCCAUCUAGCUAGACUGUGCGAUCGAAUCUUUAUUUUAAUUCAUCUUCAAAUUCGUCAGUGCACUAGCUAAAAGACUAGAUUCAUUUUUAUAAUGUUUUUUAUUAGUUAGUCUUGUCUUUUCUCUUCUGUUCAG